rnacentral:rRNA from 1 species
GUCCAGACUCCUACGGGAGGCAGCAGUGAGGAAUAUUGGUCAAUGGACGCAAGUCUGAACCAGCCGUGCCGCGUGCAGGAAGACGGCUCUAUGAGUUGUAAACUGCUUUUGUACGAGGGUAAAUGCAGGUACGUGUAUCUGUUUGAAAGUAUCGUACGAAUAAGCAUCGGCUAACUCCGUGCCAGCAGCCGCGGUAAUACGGAGGAUGCGAGCGUUAUCCGGAUUUAUUGGGUUUAAAGGGUGCGCAGGCGGAAUGUCAAGUCAGCGGUAAAAUUUCGGGGCUCAACCCCGUCGUGCCGUUGAAACUGGCGUUCUUGAGUGAGCGAGAAGUAUGCGGAAUGCGUGGUGUAGCGGUGAAAUGCAUAGAUAUCACGCAGAACUCCGAUUGCGAAGGCAGCAUACCGGCGCCCGACUGACGCUGAAGCACGAAAGCGUGGGUAUCGAACAGGAUUAGAUACCCCAGUAA